CUACGGGGUGCAGCAGUGGGGAAUAUUGCACAAUGGGCGCAAGCCUGAUGCAGCCAUGCCGCGUGUAUGAAGAAGGCCUUCGGGUUGUAAAGUACUUUCGGCGGGGAGGAAGGGAGUAAAGUUAAUACCUUUGCUCAUUGACGUUACCCGCAGAAGAAGCACCGGCUAACUCCGUGCCAGCAGCCGCGGUAAUACGGAGGGUGCAAGCGUUAAUCGGAAUUACUGGGCGUAAAGCGCACGCAGGCGGUUUGUUAAGUCAGAUGUGAAAUCCCCGGGCUCAACCUGGGAACGGCAUCUGAUACUGGCAGGCUUGAGUCUCGUAGAGGGGGGUAGAAUUCCAGGUGUAGCGGUGAAAUGCGUAGAGAUCUGGAGGAAUACCGGUGGCGAAGGCGGCCCCCUGGACGAAGACUGACGCUCAGGUGCGAAAGCGUGGGGAGCAAACAGGAUUAGAUACCCGCGUAGUC
rnacentral:rRNA from 1 species